UAUCCGCACCCGACACCCGUACCCGAGUCCAUAUAACAUAGCAUAGGGGUAUGAUGAGUGGUUCUAUCUUAGAAUAAGCAUCCAAGAUAUGUGUCUGCCCCUGGCCUGGUUACAACUACAAAACUGACAUGGGACACAGUUAUAUUAAAUUAUACAAAAAAAAGAAAAGAAAAAAGAUUCAUGAACCCAACCCACUUGAUUGAGACACAUGGCUUUGUCUGGUUUGGUUUGACCAUGCAACAUAGUCAAGCAGUUUUCUUUGUUAUGUUCUGUUAGCUGCUUUUCCUAUUAUCAAAAAUGUGAAAAUAGAGCCAUCUAAACUGUACCUAUAUUGCCAUCCAUUUUUAUGGACUUACAUAGGUUUAGAAAAGUUCAAUCUUUGUGAAGCAAAUUUUCCACUAUUAUUUGAUAAUCUUUGCUGCACAUGUUCAAGAAGAGGUUCGUUCCAAAGUUAGAAAGACUCUAACACCAUUAACAGCACAGUUGGCAUUACAAAGGAUACUGCAUUUUCCUUGCAAAAAACAGUAUACUGUAGUGAUUCUGAUGCCUCAGAGAUCUUGUUUUAAGAAGUUAGGGCUACUCAUCCGCUCAGCGCCAAACCGUUAUAGUAGAGAUGCAAAGAUUUUAGCAGGCAUGGCCGGCCUGACUGUUUUGGUUCUCAAUUUGUGGAGAUAUUCACGCAGUUUGCUGAAACCCUAAGGGUGUGUUUGUUUAGCACAAGAUCGUUAUUUGGAAGAUUAGAG